GAUGAACGCUGGCGGCGUGCCUAAUACAUGCAAGUCGAGCGAACAGAUGAGGAGCUUGCUCCUCUGACGUUAGCGGCGGACGGGUGAGUAACACGUGGAUAACCUACCUAUAAGACUGGGAUAACUUCGGGAAACCGGAGCUAAUACCGGAUAAUAUAUUGAACCGCAUGGUUCAAUAGUGAAAGACGGUUUUGCUGUUACUUAUAGAUGGAUCCGCGCCGCAUUAGCUAGUUGGUAAGGUAACGGCUUACCAAGGCAACGAUGCGUAGCCGACCUGAGAGGGUGAUCAGCCACACUGGAACUGAGACACGGUCCAGACUCCUACGGGAGGCAGCAGUAGGGAAUCUUCCGCAAUGGGCGAAAGCCUGACGGAGCAACGCCGCGUGAGUGAUGAAGGUCUUCGGAUCGUAAAGCUCUGUUAUUAGGGAAGAACAAAUGUGUAAGUAACUAUGCACGUCUUGACGGUACCUAAUCAGAAAGCCACGGCUAACUACGUG
rnacentral:rRNA from 1 species